CUCGGUAGCUUGCCGGGCUCUCCGAGAGAGCGAUACAGAGAAGAUUAGCAUGGCCCCUGCGCAAGGAUGACACGCAAAUAAUAAUAAUAAUAAUGCACUAAU